GGGGUCCUAGCUGAGAUGGAUUAGCGCUCGCCUGAAAAGCCUGAGAGACUGGAUCGUUACCAGUGGUCCCCACCA
rnacentral:tRNA from 1 species